AGUGAACGCUGGCGGUAGGCCUAACACAUGCAAGUCGAACGGCAGCACAGGAGAGCUUGCUCUCUGGGUGGCGAGUGGCGGACGGGUGAGGAAUACAUCGGAAUCUACUUUUUCGUGGGGGAUAACGUAGGGAAACUUACGCUAAUACCGCAUACGACCUACGGGUGAAAGCAGGGGAUCUUCGGACCUUGCGCGAUUGAAUGAGCCGAUGUCGGAUUAGCUAGUUGGCGGGGUAAAGGCCCACCAAGGCGACGAUCCGUAGCUGGUCUGAGAGGAUGAUCAGCCACACUGGAAAUGAGACACGGUACAGACUCCUACGGGAGUCAGCAGUGGGGAAUAUUGGACAAUGGGCGGAAGCCUGAUCCAGCCAUACCGCGUGGGUGAAGAAGGCCUUCGGGUUGUAAAGCCCUUUUGUUGGGAAAGAAAUCCAACUGGUUAAUACCCGGUUGGGAUGACGGUACCCAAAGAAUAAGCACCGGCUAACUUCGUGCCAGCCGCCGCAGUAA
rnacentral:rRNA from 1 species